rnacentral:rRNA from 1 species
UGAACCAUACCAAACUGUUGCCUCGGCGGGGUCACGCCCCGGGUGCGUCGCAGCCCCGGAACCAGGCGCCCGCCGGAGGGACCAACCAAACUCUUUCUGUAGUCCCCUCGCGGACGUUAUUUCUUACAGCUCUGAGCAAAAAUUCAAAAUGAAUCAAAACUUUCAACAACGGAUCUCUUGGUUCUGGCAUCGAUGAAGAACGCAGCGAAAUGCGAUAAGUAAUGUGAAUUGCAGAAUUCAGUGAAUCAUCGAAUCUUUGAACGCACAUUGCGCCCGCCAGUAUUCUGGCGGGCAUGCCUGUCCGAGCGUCAUUUCAACCCUCGAACCCCUCCGGGGGGUCGGCGUUGGGGAUCGGGAACCCCUAAGACGGGAUCCCGGCCCCGAAAUACAGUGGCGGUCUCGCCGCAGCCUCUCCUGCGCAGUAGUUUGCACAACUCGCACCGGGAGCGCGGCGCGUCCACGUCCGUAAAACACCCAACUUUCUGAAAUGUUGACCUCGGAUCAGGUAGGAAUACCCGCUGAACUUAAGCAUAUCAAAAGGCCGGAGGAAA